rnacentral:rRNA from 1 species
AUGAUGUGCGGUUUCAGUACUACUAGGUGUGAGGAGGAGGAGGUUAGCCUUGAUGGCCAGGUGGUACCUCGGAAGGACACCUUUCUGUAUUUGGGGUCAAUGUUGCAGGAGGAUGGGGGUAUUGAUGAAGAUGUGAACCAUCGAAUCAAAGCCGGAUGGAUGAAGUGGCGCCAAGCUUCUGGCAUUCUCUGUGACAAGAGAGUGCCACAAAAGCUAAAAGGCAAGUUCUACAGGACGGCGGUUCGACCCGCAAUGUUGUAUGGCGCGGAGUGUUGGCCUACUAAAAGGCGACAUGUUCAAUAG